CGAAGGCGCUCUGCGUCGUAAACUGCUUUUUUCAGAGAAGAAAAGGUUUGUUUCUACAGAUUUUGACGGUAUAUGAUGAAUAAGCACCGGCUAACUCCGUGCCAGCAGCCGCGGUAAUACGGAGGGUGCAAGCGUUAUCCGGAUUUACUGGGUUUAAAGGGUGCGUAGGCUGAUUGAUAAGUCAGUGGUGAAAUCCUCGGGCUCAACCCGGGAAUUGCCGUUGAUACUAUUAGUCUUGAAUAUAGUUGAGGUGAGCAGAAUGCGUGGUGUAGCGGUGAAAUGCUUAGAUAUCACGCAGAAUACCGAUUGCGAAGGCAGCUCGCUAAACUAUUAUUGACGCUGAGGCACGAAAGCGUGGGGAUCAAACAGGAUUAGAUACCCUGGUAGUCCACGCCCUAAACGUUGUUCACUCGAUCCCGGCGACAUACUGUCGGGGUCUAAGCAAAAGCAUUAAGUGAACCACCUGGGGAGUACGACCGCAAGGUUGAAACUCAAAGGAAUUGACG
rnacentral:rRNA from 1 species